rnacentral:rRNA from 1 species
UACGUAGGGGGGCAAGCGUUGUCCGGAAUCAUUGGGCGUAAAGAGCGUGUAGGCGGCCCGAUAAGUCCGCUGUGAAAGUCCCAGGGCUCAACCCUGGGAUGCCGGUGGAUACUGUCGGGCUCGAGUCCGGAAGAGGAGUGUGGAAUUCCUGGUGUAGCGGUGAAAUGCGCAGAUAUCAGGAGGAACACCAAUGGCGAAGGCAGCACUCUGGGACGUGACUGACGCUGAGACGCGAAAGCGUGGGGAGCAAACAGG